rnacentral:rRNA from 1 species
GACGAACGUUGGCGGCGUGCUUAAUACAUGCAAGUCAACUGAAGCAGAGGUAGUAAUAUCUCUGUGGAGGUGGCGCACGGGUGAGUAACACGUAGGUAAUCUGCCUUCAGGUCUGACAUAACCCCGAGAAAUCGGGGCUAAUAGCAGAUGAUGCAGCGGCUUGACAUCAAGACAGUUGUUAAAGCUUCGGCGCCUGAAGAUGAGCCUGCGCUGAUUAGCUAGUUGGCGGAGUAACAGCCCACCAAGGCUACGAUCAGUAGCUGGUCUGAGAGGAUGAUCAGCCACACUGGAACUGAGACACGGUCCAGACUCCUACGGGAGCAGCAGUAAGGAAUAUUGCUCAAU